rnacentral:rRNA from 1 species
GACGAACGCUGGCGGCGUGCUUAACACAUGCAAGUCGAGCGGUAAGGCCCUUUCGGGGGUACACGAGCGGCGAACGGGUGAGUAACACGUGGGUGACCUGCCCUCAGCUCUGGGAUAAGCCUGGGAAACUGGGUCUAAUACUGGAUAUGACUCCACGGUGCAUGUCGUGGGGUGGAAAGCCUUGUGCGGCUGAGGAUGGGCCCGCGGCCUAUCAGCUUGUUGGUGGGGUGANGGCCUACCAAGGCGACGACGGGUAGCCGGCCUGAGAGGGCGACCGGCCACACUGGGACUGAGAUACGGCCCAGACUCCUACGGGAGGGCAGCAGUGGGGAAUCUUGCGCAAUGGGCGAAAGCCUGACGCAGCGACGCCGCGUGAGGGAUGACGG